GUGCUUCUUCAAGACAGAGACGGCAGGGCCUCUUCCUGUGGUUUGCACCAUGUGGCCUAAAAAGUGUUAAAAGGCGACAACUUCUUUCUCUUUUCUCUGUUGUUUCCGGGACCAAGUAGGCAGAGAGCUGGUUUAACAAUCGGUGUAAAACGAGCAUUCGGAGUACAAGGAGUUAAGAGGAAGCGUGUAAAAGUGUCGACUGGAGCGUGAAGACGAGAAGAGGCGGGAAGGUCAGAGGUACAGUGCAGUCACUCAUAAAGUAGACAGCACUACUAAACUUCUCUACACAGUGUAGUGUUUCCUACUUUAUGGAUGAGUGUACUGUUGGCGGCGAUGGACAGUCUUGGAUGCUGAAUAUGAACGUGUAUUUAUGAAGUAUUAAUUAUGAUUUUGCUUCUUGAACAUUUUUAAGUGCUCACAUGUAACGUGUAUGUUAAUUUGUACAUGAAUUACUUUGGUUAUGGAACAGUAAAUGAAGUAAUAAAAGGAUCUCUGUGUGCAUUUGCUGCUGAUA